rnacentral:rRNA from 1 species
AUUGAACGCUGGCGGCAUGCCUUACACAUGCAAGUCGAACGGCAGCACGGGUGCUUGCACCUGGUGGCGAGUGGCGAACGGGUGAGUAAUACAUCGGAACAUGUCCUGUAGUGGGGGAUAGCCCGGCGAAAGCCGGAUUAAUACCGCAUACGAUCUACGGAUGAAAGCGGGGGACCUUCGGGCCUCGCGCUAUAGGGUUGGCCGAUGGCUGAUUAGCUAGUUGGUGGGGUAAAGGCCUACCAAGGCGACGAUCAGUAGCUGGUCUGAGAGGACGAUCAGCCACACUGGGACUGAGACACGGCACAGACUCCUACGGGACGCAGCAGUGGGGAAUUUUGGAAAAUGGGCGAAAGCCUGAUCCAGCAAUGCCGCGUGUGUGAAGAAGGCCUUCGGGUUGUAAAGCACUUUUGUCCGGAGAGAAAUCCUUGGCCCUAAUACGGUCGGGGGAUGACGGUACCGGAAGAAUAAGCACCGGCUAACUACG